ensembl:lncRNA
CACGCCACCGUCAGGCUGAGAAGGAGAUCGCGCCCCAGGGAUCGCCGGCGCGCCAGGACUCGUCCACCUCCAUCCAAACGGCCGCCUCGACGCCGGUGCUGAUGCUCCCAUCCCGUAAGUUUGCCCUUAUCCGGGAGAGCCCCAGCUCAGGGCCACCCCGUGGGCUCACACGGAGCCUCCAUUUCCUGGUCAUUCUUCUUUUCACAGCCAAGGCUCCUACGAGUCUGUCCUUCCCAUCCCCCUCCUUUGUCCUUCCCCAAGUCCUCUCAUCUCUUCUUCACCGAGUCUGAGGAAGAGGGCAGGGCGGGGACUGCCAUCCUCCGAGCUGCUGUGCCGGCGCAGCGCGACGAGUCCAGCAGAGGGACCUUAACUGCCGGGGGCCUCGAACAUCACAGAGACACAAGGAUCCCAGGCUUCCAUGAGACCGACCUUCCUGUUCCUCUCCCUCAUCCCUCCCCGGGGAGAGGAGGGGUCAGAGAAGUAACAGAGGCAGCUGUUCUUGUGGAAAAGCAGAUUUCAGUUUGGACAGAAAGAAGUGCUGAACUUCAGCAGGAAGAUGCAGCCCAGAUGCUUCACUUGGACUUUUUGUUCAAGAUUAGACAAUCAACAAUUUAAAAUAACAAUACAAAGUAAUGAAAAAGUCAAAACCACAGAACAAAAUAAACAUUUUUUCUUCUUCUUAAAAAAAAAAAAAAAAGACAGUUGUCUCUCUCUUUUUGCAACUUUGAAGUUUGCACGUAGGUUCCCGCAUCCCCUCCUUGCCUCCCG